UAAUGUAAAAUAAACAAAUAAACAAUAAAUAAAUUUACAAUAAUAUAAUAAUAAAAAACAAUAAAAAGAUCGGAUCGGGUUUUUAAAGGUAUCGACCCGAUUCGAUAUUUUUUACGCUAUCGACCCCCAUCCGAUCCGAUAUUUAAUAUCGGCACAGCCCUAAUAGAUAUCAAGUUAAAGAAAUAUUAUUACAAUCAAGUUUCAUAUUCCAAGGAUUGAUUAUCAUAAAUAGAAGAAAAAUUGGAAUUAAAAAUUACAAAAUCAAUAAAGACCUAUGAAAUACCUGAAGACUGCUGAUCGUUCAAGGUCAAAUCCAACUGUAGACUCAGCUUAAGAGGGCAUUCGUCAAAGUAUCUUUCGCGUUGAUCUCUAACCAUAGGAUAGAAGAAGGUUAUAACGGGACCUGACUGCCCCACCUCGUGUGCCAGGGCGAAAAUGGCUUGACAAAAUUGGUCUACCAAUACGCGACCCUGGAAUUUUUCAAUUAAUCACAGAUUCCAUCAAUACAGCGACAACAGAAAAUUUAACAAUUACAGACAAGACAAUAAGAGGUUUAAUGACG